UUUGGAUUAUGACAUAAUUAGUGUUUAUCUCUUUGCCAGAAAUCUUUUUUGUUUCUUUUCCAGAACAGAAACCUGAAAAGAAAAUUCCUUUGCAUUAAGUGCUAUUUCACUGUGUGACAAUCAAUUUUUGAAGAAGUGGCUUCGUUGUGGAAAUGAUGUUAUUGCAGGCACCUAGAAUUUUAUCUCCUUCACUUCUACAAUGGGAAGCAAUUCUCCAACAAGCACAGGAAUCUGACUUUCUGAUAUUGAGACUCCUAGGCAUCAAGCCCCGUGGAAGGGUUGGUGAUUACGUGAGCGUUGGCGUUGGCGUUGAUGUGGGCACCCUCCAAGCCGGACGCAGGGAGCAGGGAAGAGCAGAACAGGCCCCUCAGGAGCCAUGAGAAAAUCAAGUGUUGGCAGCAGUGGUGAGGGUUGAUGUCAGGGGCCAGGAGGAGGUGGCGAAGGGAGCAUGUGCCUCAAGGCAGCCCUGGAACCCGCAGUCCCUGUAGUGAGGUCUGGUCUGCAGGGGAUGUGGACGGCCACGUGGCGAGGCCCACAGACAGCCUGGACUUGGCUGCCUCAGAACUCUGGUGGACGUUGCAAACGGCCCCACAGGGUUGCAGUGCAUAUUCCUCGGACAGAGAAAAGACGCUUGAAACUGUUCCCGGCACGAAGCCAGCGCCCUGUGAACAGUGGCUCCUGCUGUCGUGACUGAGUGCCGUCCAACUGGGGGCAGUUGCUCUGCUCAGUUCACUUAAUUGGGCCAGGAAUGGGGUUGCCCUGCCUUCUACAAGCUUGACGCAUUGAACGAGGACUCAGUUGAUAAAGUACUCUGUAAAUAUGCUCUCCCGGCUAGAGUGAGCAAAACCCAGGGAGCGAGUGGUUCUUCAGUAUUAGCCAGGUGUUUGUGGUGGGGCCAGCUGUGCGGCUGCCAGAGCGAAUGUGACCAGGAAGCCUCUGUCCCCCCGGAGGUGGCCAGCGUUCCUGUUACACGUGCCGUAGGCAGAAGGUGGGCACUGCUGGGAAACUUGUUCAUAUUGUUAUUUUCUGAUUGAAAAUUCAAGGUUUCUGAGCAUCCUACAUCGAAUCUGUACAUUGCUGAGACUGUACACAUUUCAACACUUGUUUUUCUCUGCUUUUGGCCGUGGCUUCCAGGACAGGCUGGAUGCAGAGUGAAGUCCUCUCCUCACUGUCAAUGUUUGCAGAUGUCUUUUUGUAUAAACUGUAUUUAUUGAGAGUCUCAAUUAGGUUUUUAUUUAACUAGACUUUUCAAAUUGCCAUGUACAUAACUCUCCCAGUUACAAUCGUGAGCUAACGUGGGUUUUUGGUUUUACUUUGAUGAACUUUUAACAUUUGCAUGCUAAAUGUGGGGGUGGAGGUCAUUUAUCUGCUUUUCAUUUCCUUCUUGGUUAUACUUAGUGACUUUCAGGUAAGGUGUGGAAAGCGUGGUACAGGGUGAAUUGCAGGCUGCAGUGUGGCGCGGUGGACGAGAGGCGGGGCUGCAGUGUGCACAGUGGAUGAGAGUAAAGAGAUUUCCAUCCUCGAGGGAAACACACAACAAACAAUUUAAGAAACUGAUCGUCUAGCUUGCAUGAAGUCCAACAAAUUCAGUUUGCAAAGUUUAACUUCCAAGUUAACUUAGUAACUUUUCCCCUAAGUCAUUAAUUUAGUAGCUUAUGUUUAAACAUAUUUUUCGCCUAAAGCAAGUCAUAAAUUCUAAAAUGAAUGACUAAACAUGUAAUAAUUUAGGCAUACAGCACCUGAAGGGAAAACUGCCAGUAUGCUAAAAUAUUGGAUACAGAUGCUUAAAAAAUAUAAUGUAGCAUUCUUACAAUGCAUGUGCUUUUAGCAUGUAACUUGGUGAGUAGUUUUGAGCUAUAUUUGUAGGAGUGUGUAUAUUGAAUACUUUAGGACACCACUGCAGAUGUGUGCGUGAGAGGUAUAAAUACUGAAUGUUCUUUUCCUUCCCUUAAAUGAAAAACAUUAGCUCCCUU